rnacentral:rRNA from 1 species
CGACGGUGAGUAACACGUAUCCAACCUGCCGUCUACUCUUGGACAGCCUUCUGAAAGGAAGAUUAAUACAAGAUGGCAUCAUGAGUCCGCAUGUUCACAUGAUUAAAGGUAUUCCGGUAGACGAUGGGGAUGCGUUCCAUUAGAUAGUAGGCGGGGUAACGGCCCACCUAGUCUUCGAUGGAUAGGGGUUCUGAGAGGAAGGUCCCCCACAUUGGAACUGAGACACGGUCCAA